UAGGUCCUCUGUUAAAUCCAUCAGCUCAACUGAUGACCUGCAGAGGAUACCGCGGGACUAGGAGGCGGGAGAGGCGGACGGUACUCCGCGUGUAGGGGUAAAAUCCUUUGAUCCGCGGAAGACCACCAGUGGCGAAGGCGGUCCGCCAGAACGCGCUCGACGGUGAGGGAUGAAAGCUGGGGGAGCGAACCGGAUUAGAUACCCGGGUAGUCCCAGCCGUAAACGAUGCUAGCUAGAUGAUUCAUUCGCAAGUCGCGAAUGAAGUGUCGCAGGGAAGCCGUUAAGCUAGCCGCCUGGGGAGUACGGUCGCAAGACUGAAACUGAGAGCCGGUAACACGACUCUCGGC
rnacentral:rRNA from 1 species